UACGUAGGGUGCAAGCGUUUAAUCGGAAUUACUGGGCGUAAAGCGCGCGUAGGCGGCUUUGCAAGUCGGGUGUGAAAUCCCCAGGCUUAACCUGGGAACUGCAUUCGAGACUGCAUUGCUAGAGUAUGGGAGAGGGAAGUGGAAUUUCCGGUGUAGCGGUGAAAUGCGUAGAUAUCGGAAGGAACAUCAGUGGCGAAAGCGACUUCCUGGACCAAUACUGACGCUCAUGUGCGAAAGCGUGGGGAGCAAACAGG
rnacentral:rRNA from 1 species